GUCGAGAAUUUUUCACAAUGGGCGCAAGCCUGAUGGAGCGACGCCGCGUGGGGGAUGAAUGGCUUCGGCCCGUAAACCCCUGUCAUUUGCGAACAAACCUUGCUAUUUAAAAGAUGGUAAGCUGAUUGUAGCGAAAGAGGAAGGGACGGCUAACUCUGUGCCAGCAGCCGCGGUAAUACAGAGGUCCCAAGCGUUGUUCGGAUUCACUGGGCGUAAAGGGUGCGUAGGUGGCGGGGUAAGUCUGAUGUGAAAUCUCCAAGCUUAACUUGGAAAUGGCAUUGGAAACUACUCUGCUCGAGGGUUGGAGGGGGGACUGGAAUACUUGGUGUAGCAGUGAAAUGCGUAGAUAUCAAGUGGAACACCAGUGGCGAAGGCGAGUCCCUGGACAACUCCUGACACUGAGGCACGAAAGCUAGGGGAGCAAACAGGAUUAGAUACCCGGGUAGUCC
rnacentral:rRNA from 1 species